GCAUAGCUCAGUUGGUAGAGCAUGAUAUUCUUAAUCUCAGGGUCAUGAGUUUGAGUUCAUGUUGGGCA